UUACAAUGGCAGGUACAGAGGGGUGCUACCGGGUGACCGGAUGCCGAUCUCGAAAAACCUGUCCCAGUUCGGACUGGAGUCUGCAACCCGACUCCACGAAGUUGGAUUCGCUAGUAAUCGCGCAUCAGCCAUGGCGCGGUGAAUACGUUCCCGGGCCUUGUACACACCGCCCGUCAAGCCAUGGGAGCCGGGGGCGCCUGAAGUCCGGGACCGCGAGGACCGGCCUAGGGCGAAACUGGUGACUGGGGCUAAGUCGUAACAAGGUACC
rnacentral:rRNA from 1 species